AUUGAACGCUGGCGGCAGGCCUAACACAUGCACGUCGAACGAGUGGCGGACGGGUGAGUAAUGUCUGGGAAACUGCCUGAUGGAGGGGGAUAAAUACUGGAAACGGUAGCUAAUACCGCAUACCAUCGGAUGUGCCCAGAUUGGAUUAGCUAGUAGGUGGGGUAACGGGUCACCUAGGCGACGAUCCCUAGCUGGUCUGAGAGGAUGACCAGCCACACUGUAACUGAGACACGGGCCAGACUCCUAGGAGAGGCAGCAGUGGGGAAUAAUACACAAUGGGAGAAAGCCUGAUGCAGCCAUGCCGCGUGUGUGAAGAAGGCCUUCGGGUUGUAAAGUACUUUCAGCGGUGAGGCGUUACCCGCAGAAGAAGCACCGGCAAACUCCGUGCCAGCAGCCGCGGUAAUUC
rnacentral:rRNA from 1 species